rnacentral:rRNA from 1 species
GGUGACCCAAACCCUCACCAGAGUAGCAAUUGGAGGGCAAGUCUGGUGCCAGCAGCCGCGGUAAUUCCAGCUCCAAUAGCGUAUAUUAAACUUGUUGCAGUUAAAAAGCUCGUAGUUGAAUUUUAGCGUGUUCGAGUUUGCCAUUCGUUUGGCUUUUUCGAGUUCGCUUUUGGGUUUUCCCUUUUUACUUUGAGAAAAUUAGAGUGUUUCAAGCAGACUUUUGUCUUGAAUACUUCAGCAUGGAAUAAUAGAGUAGGACUUUGGUUCUAUUUUGUUGGUUAUUGAACCUUAGUAAUGGUUAAUAGGAACGGUUGGGGGCAUUCGUAUUUAACUGUCAGAGGUGAAAUUCUUAGAUUUGUUAAAGACGAACUACUGCGAAAGCAUUUGCCAAGGACGUUUCCAUUAAUCAAGAACGAAAGUUAGGGGA